UUCCAUCGCGACCCCAGGUCAGGCGGGACUACCCGCUGAG
rnacentral:rRNA from 1 species